AUAUUUGAUGAAGUAUACAGAUUGAAAACUUUGCUAAAUAAACUUGGUGUUUUCCAUAAAAAGAAACGUAUAUAUUGAUCUGUGAAGAAACUACGGAGAACUAACUGUAUUUUGAGUGGUUCCGACCUGUGCAGACGGAGAUAUGAAAUUGGUCUAUGAUUUCCUUUGAUUGAGGUUUACAUACAUUUUUUAUAUACAGAUGAAAAUAGCUUUCGACAUGCGGGGAGGACUUUUGUAAGAUAUACUGAUAUUAUAUUGUGUAGACAAGUCAUCAAAUUUA